rnacentral:rRNA from 1 species
UCUGGUUCAGAACGAACGCUGGCGGCAUGGAUUAGGCAUGCAAGUCGAACGGGAGCAGCAAUGCUCCAGUGGCGCAAGGGUGAGGAACACGUGAACAACCUGCCUUCGAGUUGGGGAUAGCUUCUGGAAACGGGAGAUAAUACCGAAUAACAUCACCGGAUCGCAUGAUUUGGUGAUCAAAGCAGCAAUGCGCUUGAAGAGGGGUUCGCGUCCCAUUAGCUAGUUGGUGAGGUAACGGCCCACCAAGGCGAUGAUGGGUAGCUGGUCUGAGAGGACGACCAGCCACAUUGGGACUGAGAUACUGCCCAGACUCCUACGGGAGGCUGCAGUCGAGAAUUUUGGGCAAUGGACGAAAGUCUGACCCAGCCAAUGCCGCGUGCGGGAUGAACGGUCUUCGGAUUGUAAACCGCUGUCAAGAGGGACGAAACAUGACGGUACCUCUGGAGGAAGCCACGGCUAACUACGUGCCAGCCGCAGC